rnacentral:rRNA from 1 species
AGUUCGGAUUGGAGUCUGCAACUCGACUCCAUGAAGCUGGAUUCGCUAGUAAUCGCGCAUCAGCCAUGGCGCGGUGAAUACGUUCCCGGGCCUUGUACACACCGCCCGUCAAGCCAUGGGAGUCGGGAGUGCCUGAAGUUCGUGACCGUCACAGGAGCGACCUAAGGCAAGACCGAUGACUGGGGCUAAGUCGUAACAAGGUAAC